CGGUCUUACAUGCAAGUCGAGCGGACAGAUGGGAGCUUGCUCCCUGAUGUUAGCGGCGGACGGGUGAGUAACACGUGGGUAACCUGCCUGUAAGACUGGGAUAACUCCGGGAAACCGGGGCUAAUACCGGAUGGUUGUUUGAACCGCAUGGUUCAGACAUAAAAGGUGGCUUCGGCUACCACUUACAGAUGGACCCGCGGCGCAUUAGCUAGUUGGUGAGGUAACGGCUCACCAAGGCGACGAUGCGUAGCCGACCUGAGAGGGUGAUCGGCCACACUGGGACUGAGACACGGCCCAGACUCCUACGGGAGGCAGCAGUAGGGAAUCUUCCGCAAUGGACGAAAGUCUGACGGAGCAACGCCGCGUGAGUGAUGAAGGUUUUCGGAUCGUAAAGCUCUGUUGUUAGGGAAGAACAAGUGCCGUUCAAAUAGGGCGGCACCUUGACGGUACCUAACCAGAAAGCCACGGCUAACUACGUGCCAGCAGCCGCGGUAAUACGUAGGUGGCAAGCGUUGUCCGGAAUUAUUGGGCGUAAAGGGCUCGCAGCGGUUUCUUAAGUCUGAUGUGAAAGCCCCCCGG
rnacentral:rRNA from 1 species